rnacentral:rRNA from 1 species
AUUGAACGCUGGCGGCAGGCCUAACACAUGCAAGUCGAACGAGUGGCGGACGUGUGAGUAAUGCUUGUGAAUCUAGCUUAUGGAGGGGGAUAACUACGGGAAACUGUAGCCAAUACCGCGUACCAUAGGAUGAGCCGAAGUGGGAUUAGGUAGUUGGAGAGGUAAAGGCUAACCAAGCCGACGAUCUCUAGCUGGUCUGAGAGGAUGACCAGCCACACUGGGACUGAGACACGGUCCAGACUCCUACGGGAGGCAGCAGUGGGGAAUAUUGCGCAAUGGGCGAAACCCUGACGCAGCCAUGCCGCGUGAAUGAAGAAGGCCUUCGGGUUGUAAAGUACUUUCAGUCGGGAGGCGUUACCGACAGAAGAAGCACCGGCUAACUCCGUGCCAGCAGCCGCGGUAAUAC